rnacentral:rRNA from 1 species
AGACCGAUAGCGAACAAGUACCGUGAGGGAAAGAUGAAAAGCACUUUGGAAAGAGAGUUAACAGUACGUGAAAUUGUUGGAAGGGAAACGCUUGAAAUCAGACUUGCUAUUCGGAAUUCAGCCGCAAGGUGUACUUUUCGAUUUGCAGGCCAGCAUCAGUUUUUGGGGGUGGAAAAGGGUGGAGAGAAGGUAGCAACCCCGGUUGUGUUAUAGCUCUUCACUGGAUUCAUCUUUGGGGACUGAGGAUCGCAGUGCGCAUUUAUUUGCAAACCUCUCGAGGUUUUCGUACUUAGGAUGCUGGUGGAAUGGUUUUAAACGACCCGUCUUGAAACACGGACCAAG